rnacentral:rRNA from 1 species
UACGAAGGGGGCUAGCGUUGCUCGGAAUCACUGGGCGUAAAGGGUGCGUAGGCGGGUCUUUUAAGUCAGGGGUGAAAUCCUGGAGCUCAACUCCAGAACUGCCUUUGAUACUGAGGAUCUUGAGUUCGGGAGAGGUGAGUGGAACUGCGAGUGUAGAGGUGAAAUUCGUAGAUAUUCGCAAGAACACCAGUGGCGAAGGCGGCUCACUGGCCCGAUACUGACGCUGAUGCACGAAAGCGUGGGGGAGCAAACAGG